rnacentral:rRNA from 1 species
GCAGUAGCCGCGGUAAUACGUAGGGUGCAAGCGUUAAUCGGAAUUACUGGGCGUAAAGCGUGCGCAGGCGGUUAUAUAAGACAGAUGUGAAAUCCCCGGGCUCAACCUGGGAACUGCAUUUGUGACUGUAUAGCUAGAGUACGGCAGAGGGGGAUGGAAUUCCGCGUGUAGCAGUGAAAUGCGUAGAUAUGCGGAGGAACACCGAUGGCGAAGGCAAUCCCCUGGGCCUGUACUGACGCUCAUGCACGAAAGCGUGGGGAGCAAACAGGAUUAGAUACCCCAGUAUCCCUGUCUCUUAUACA